AGUGAGUUGGAAGAUCAGUAAUUUUAAUUAACGAGGCGAAUGCCUCACCCCAGAAUUUAUUUCUUGUGACCAUCUCUUAUCGACUCCAUCGCUGGUGCUGUAUCCACUGUCGACAUUGUGGCGUCUAUGAGGCCUUGUGUCGAGAGUGGCAUGUCCUCGAGCCUCCAGUGGUCCGCGCCGGGCCCUACCACCUCUGGCUCUCUCGUGCUUUGCGGCCUGUCUUUCCAGAUACUUGAAAAUGUGGAUGCGCCCUCGUGCGCAUAACUAAAACAUUACAGGCAUACAUCAGAGAUAAAUGACAACAGCGUGCCAUUCUUGUUAUCAUAAUUGAAGAGUGUGGUCGACUUACCGAUGCAGGAGGUGAGGUUAAAGGAUUCUCGGUGAGGUUGAGGUCGAUCAAGCUCUUCAUUUUUCUAAGUUCGUUGGGCAGCACAGAUAUCCUGUUACCACUGAUAUCAAGUUUCACCAGUCGAAGAUUGCUCCUGAGAUCGAGGCUCCUUAGUCUGGGCAAAUCGCCGAUCCUUGGGGGAAGGGUUGAUAUUUCAUUGCAGCCGGCAUCGAGUUCGGCGAGGGCUGACAUCCUGCCCAAUUCUUCCGGAAGUGAGACCAGUCUGUUGUGCGCUACUAGCAAAGUUUGCAACGGAAGUCUGCAUACUUCGCGAGGAAGGGUAGUCAGUUGGUUACGACUAGAGCGAGGGAAGACGAGAGAUUAAAGGAACGAACGUCAUUUCCGAAUCGCGAUAAUCCAGGGUGAAGAAAAAUCGUCACCUUAAGUCCAGGUAAGCGAGGGACUGGAGCAUCACAACGGUAUCGGGAAUCACUCGUAUAGCAUUGUGAUAAAGUUGCAGCUUCUCGAGAAAAGGGUACUCUGUCACCUCUUCCGGUAGUUCUGCAAACCGAUUCUUCGACAAAUCUGCAAUUUUAAAAUGGAAAAAUGAAGGGUCAGCGAUCGCCUCCGUGACUAAUACGGUGAACGAA
rnacentral:misc_RNA from 1 species